rnacentral:sRNA from 1 species
AAAAGCUAAAAGAGUAUUUCCUUGUUAGAAGAUACAAAGCCAAAGACUCAAACGGACUUCAGCUACCCCAUGAAAGCUUUGAGAAGCAAUAA